rnacentral:lncRNA from 1 species
UAUCUAAUCACCACAAUCAACACUUCAAACAAUUAAAAUCCCAGGAAACCAUGUUUAAGGAUGCUAGAAGUCAGAGGAAUAUGUCUGUAUAUGUAUGAAUGUUUAUCUAUUAUACUUCUACAAAAUUUAAACAAGAUUCUGUGUCAUACUCCAAAACAUGAAGAGAGAGAUCGAGAAUGAAGAGAGAGAUCGGGAAGAAGAGGGAGAGAUCGGGAAUGAAUAGAGAGAUUGGGAAGAAGAGGGAGGGACCAGGAAUAAAGAGAGAGAUUGAGAAGAAGAGGGAGGGAUUGUACCUGACCGACGAUGGAGGAGUCCGACGGACGCAGAGGGAGAGAUCCCGCUUCCUGAUGUCUUUUGCAUCGAAGAGGGGAGGCCAAACCACC